rnacentral:rRNA from 1 species
GCUUAACACAUGCAAGUCGAACGCGUCCUUCGGGACGAGUGGCAGACGGGUGAGUAACACGUGGGAACCUACCUGAUGGUACGGAAUAACACAGGGAAACUUGUGCUAAUACCGUAUGAGCCCCUCGGGGGAAAGAUUUAUCGCCAUCAGAUGGGCCCGCGUCGGAUUAGCUAGUUGGUGGGGUAAUGGCCUACCAAGGCGACGAUCCGUAGCUGGUCUGAGAGGAUGAUCAGCCACACUGGGACUGAGACACGGCCCAGACUCCUACGGGAGGCAGCAGUAGGGAAUCUUGGACAAUGGGCGAAAGCCUGAUCCAGCCAUGCCGCGUGAGUGAUGAAGGCCUUAGGGUUGUAAAGCUCUUUCGCCAGGGAAGAUAAUGACGGUACCUGGAUAAGAAGCCCCGGCAAACUUCGUGCCAGCAGCCGCGGUAAUAC